AUUGAACGCUGGCGGCAGGCCUAACACAUGCAAGUCGAGCGGAUGAAGGGAGCUUGCUCCUGGAUUCAGCGGCGGACGGGUGAGUAAUGCCUAGGAAUCUGCCUGGUAGUGGGGGAUAACGUCCGGAAACGGGCGCUAAUACCGCAUACGUCCUGAGGGAGAAAGUGGGGGAUCUUCGGACCUCACGCUAUCAGAUGAGCCUAGGUCGGAUUAGCUAGUUGGUGGGGUAAAGGCCUACAAAGGCGACGAUCCGUAACUGGUCUGAGAGGAUGAUCAGUCACACUGGAACUGAGACACGGUCCAGACUCCUACGGGAGGCAGCAGUGGGGAAUAUUGGACAAAGGGCGAAAGCCUGAUCCAGCCAUGCCGCGUGUGUGAAGAAGGUCUUCGGAUUGUAAAGCACUUUAAGUUGGGAGGAAGGGCAGUAAGUUAAUACCUUGCUGUUUUGACGUUACCAACAGAAUAAGCACCGGCUAACUUCGUG
rnacentral:rRNA from 1 species